rnacentral:lncRNA from 1 species
CCACGCUUCCCUGGUGCUGUGUGGGAAAAGCAAAUUGAAAGAAUCUGGAACGAUGAAGUCACCAAGCCACCGCGGAGGAUGGAGCAGAGGCAGCGUUUCCUCGUCCCGUAACCCGCGUGCACUCUGUGCUUUGAUGGCUCCGGCUCCCAGCGCCUCACAGCCAGCCUCACCAGUGUGGUCUGGCUGCUCUGCAGGGCUGGAUGCAGAGGAUUCCAACCUUGCUGGCUGGGAUGGACUGGUGAUGCUGCUUUUUGGACUGCGCGCUCUUUGGAGGAGAGGCGUCCUAUUUGUUUCGCGUCCGCGCUUUUCUGACAAUGACAGAUGAGAUUAUGGAGCGUGGCCGAUUUUCAAGAUUCCUUCUAACUGGUGAGCUGAGGAUUCCUGUUUAGAAACGCUAUGCAGCAAAAGAAACCCACAACAACAACUCAACCAUUUGCAGUCUUAAGUAUUGCAAACUCUGAUGAGGCGGUGUGAGGUUGUGCACCUCCAGCUUGGAUUCUGCUGCCCCGUGUUGCUUUACAAGAAGGUGCUGUUUAUCACAGCCUUGCUUCAUUUGAAUAACACAGGGUCUUUGAGAGCAAGCUAUUUCCUUCUUUAAUAUACACAUCGAAACUGCAAAAUUACUCCGCAGCUCAAACUUGUGGACUCCAAAACCCAUCCAGCAGAGAAUGAAAAUUUUCCAGAUGAGGAAUAGUGGCUGCUUGUUUUCUCCCCUCCCUUGGAUGGGUUUGUGUCUGGGCAUGAUUUCAGCCCUUCCUUCCUAUUCAGCGGCCCAAAUAUUGAAGUGGGUGUGAAACCUGCAAGCGAGGAAAGGAAGAGGGGAGCAGCGGGUGUGUGCUGCUGCUGCUCGUGUGACACUGCGUGGUAUGGGCCCAGCUGAGCUGCCCUUGGGAUGAGCUCCUGGGGGCAGCAGCAGAACGAGGAGAGGAGGAGAAGAGCAUUUUCACAGGCACCCAGGUGGCUGAAGUCAGACAAACUGCCCUCCUCCCAGUUGUUGCAGCCAGCAGAACUGGAUGUCAUCAUGGCAGUGGGCAAGCAAAAAAAAAUCCCAGAUAUUAAUGAAUGCCAGAUUUGCCAAAUGAAUAAGCAGGAUUUCUGUUCCUUGGUGAGAAGAGGAAACAACCGUGGUCUUUCUCAGACCAAACCCACCAUUUUUACAAUGGGGGGGAGGGGAAAAAUCCUCACCAUGUGUAAUGCUCAGCUCUUGGGAAACAACGGGAAAAAAAAACUGAGAUCUGAGCCACUGGGUUUUUCUCAUUUUUAUGUUCUUCUGCUGGUCCUGAGUUUGAUUGCAUGGUUUCAUGUUUGUUGUUGGGUGGGUGGCUGUUCCAUACCUGAGCUGUGCCCCAGAGCCACGUGCUGCAGGAUGGCAGUUUUGCAUCGCAUGAGUUCUGCAAACUCUUUAGAACAAGAGUCAAGGUGUGUGCUAUGCUAGCAGGAUGCGCCCAGCAAUGUUAUAUCACAGGCCACCUGGAGUCAGGGCAGAUGUAUUGGUGGUAUUUGCUGUCUUACAGCAAAUAAGGGUUGGAAAGGACCUCAAGGAUCAUGAAGCUCCAACCCCCCUGCCACAUGAGGGCCACCAACCUCCACAUUUAAUACAAGCUCAGGCUGCCCAGGGCCCCAUCCAACCUGGCCUUGAACACCUCAGGGAUGGACGGGGCAUCCACAGCCUCUCUGGGCAGCUGUUCCAGCACCUCACUGCUCUCACAGCAAAGAAUUUCCCCCUGACGUCCAACCUAAAUCUUUCCUCCUUCAACUUAAAAACCAUUUCCCCUUGUCCUGUCUUAAUGCUGUGUGUUCUGAUUUCCACUUAUUUAAUGUAAUUUCAUGAUGCCCUGAUCCUACAGCAUAUUGCUAGCCCUAUGGAAGGUUGUUAAUGCAAGCAUUUCCCUGGAGGUGUUCAAAGCCAGGUUGGAUGGGGCCCUGGGCUCUAGUGUCUAAUCUCAUGGGUGACAGUCCUGCUCAUGUCACAGGGGUUGGAACUAGAUGAUCUUUGAGGUCCCUUCCAACCCAAGCUGUUCUAUGAUUCAGCCACUGUAAGUCAUGGUUUUAAGCUGGCCUAGAGGAAGCAUGUAGUGCUCAUUUUCCCUCUGUGCUUCUGGUCAGAGCUGCUGAAGGCUGCGUGGCUGAAGUUGUGUGACUCCCUGGGAGAGGGGUUGGUCAAGCAGUGCCUUAUGUCUUUUUCUCUUGCUUUGAGGGCAGCUCAAGGGAACUGUGCUGCUGUGUAUAUGACACAACAUAUGGGUCGAGGGGCCCAUUGUAACGUUUAGCAUCAGGGCUAGGCAGUUAUCAAGUUGGUGGUGUUGACCUGUGCCCUGGAAGGUGGAAAUAAAUGCCUGGUCUUUCAUUUAGACUAUUGCCA